AUUGAACGCUGGCGGCAGGCCUAACACAUGCGAGUCGAGCGGAUGAAGGGAGCUUGCUCCUGGAUUCAGCGGCGGACGGGUGAGUAAUGCCUAGGAAUCUGCCUGGUAGUGGGGGAUAACGUCCGGAAGCGGGCGCUAAUACCGCAUACGUCCUGAGGGAGAAAGUGGGGGAUCUUCGGACCUCACGCUAUCAGAUGAGCCUAGGUCGGAUUAGCUAGUUGGUGGGGUAAAGGCCUACCAAGGCGACGAUCCGUAACUGGUCUGAGAGGAUGAUCAGUCACACUGGAACUGAGACACGGUCCAGACUCCUACGGGAGGCAGCAGUGGGGAAUAUUGGACAAUGGGCGAAAGCCUGAUCCAGCCAUGCCGCGUGUGUGAAGAAGGUCUUCGGAUUGUAAAGCACUUUAAGUUGGGAGGAAGGGCAGUAAGUUAAUACCUUGCUGUUUUGACGUUACCAACAGAAUAAGCACCGGCUAACUUCGUG
rnacentral:rRNA from 1 species